CGAACGUUGGCGGCGUGGAUGAGGCAUGCAAGUCGCACGUGAAAGCCGCAAGGUGAGUAAAGUGGCGGACGGGCGAGUAACACGUGGGUGAUCUGCCCUGCACUUCGGGAUAAGCCUGGGAAACUGGGUCUAAUACCGGAUAUGACCUCCUAUCGCAUGGUGGGUGGUGGAAAGAUUUAUCGGUGCAGGAUGGGCCCGCGGCCUAUCAGCUUGUUGGUGGGGUAAUGGCCUACCAAGGCGACGACGGGUAGCCGACCUGAGAGGGUGACCGGCCACACUGGGACUGAGACACGGCCCAGACUCCUACGGGAGGCAGCAGUGGGGAAUAUUGCACAAUGGGCGAAAGCCUGAUGCAGCGACGCCGCGUGAGGGGUGACGGCCUUCGGGUUGUAAACCCCGUUUCAGCAGGGACGAAGCGCAAGUGACGGUACCUGCAGAAGAAGCACCGGCUAACUACGUGCCAGCAGCCGCGGUAAUCU
rnacentral:rRNA from 1 species